CAAUAGCGUAUAUUAAAGUUGUUGCGGUUAAAAAGCUCGUAGUUGGAUUUCUGCUGAGAACGACCGGUCCGCCCUUUGGGUGUGUAUCUGGCUCUUUCUUGGCAUCUUCUUGGUGAACGUUGCUGCACUUGACUGUGUGGAGCGCUACCCAGGACUUUUACUUUGAGGAAAUUAGAGUGUUUCAAGCAGGCAUACGCCUUGAAUACAUUAGCAUGGAAUAAUAAGAUAGGACCUCGGUUCUAUUUUGUUGGUUUCUAGAGCUGAGGUAAUGAUUAAUAGGGAUAGUUGGGGGCAUUCGUAUUUAACUGUCAGAGGUGAAAUUCUUGGAUCGGCUAAAGACGGACAACUGCGAAAGCGUUUGCCCAGGAUGUUUUCAUUAA
rnacentral:rRNA from 1 species